rnacentral:rRNA from 1 species
UACAUAGGUGGCAAGCGUUGUCCGGAAUUAUUGGGCGUAAAGCGCGCGCAGGUGGUUUCUUAAGUCUGAUGUGAAAGCCCACGGCUCAACCGUGGAGGGUCAUUGGAAACUGGGGAACUUGAGUGCAGAAGAGGAAAGUGGAAUUCCAAGUGUAGCGGUGAAAUGCGUAGAGAUUUGGAGGAACACCAGUGGCGAAGGCGACUUUCUGGUCUGUAACUGACACUGAGGCGCGAAAGCGUGGGGAGCGAACAGG